rnacentral:lncRNA from 1 species
AAGGGUGGACUAUGAAGGGAAACACUGGUGUUCUAAGAUAGAUGUUCUGUGUUUGAGAUCUUGCCUUGGUAGCUGGAUGCCUUGGUGCAAGACAUUCAAGGUAAGAUUGAUCCCCUGUACCCAUGAGUUCACUUCUCAUGUAGAGCUAAUAGUCCUGUUAUUUUUCUAUACACUAUGGCAGAGUAGAGAUAUAUUGUGUAUGCCAACAUGUAUGUAAGAGUAAUAGUAAUAUGAUACUUCUGAUUGUAGAUCCAAGGUUUUAAACCGACAAAAAAUGCUAUCAAUUCUCAUAUCAAAUUUUUAUGCCAGAUGUGCAUGCUCAAAGAUUUUGGUCGGCAACUUAUAGUGUGUAUCAAAGGAUUCUGAAAAAAAUAAGGUUGAGUUGUUAUUGGACAUUGGACCUUUAUAUCUUUUGCAUGAAAUUUUAUUUACUACUUGAGCUCUGUAUUUUUCCUGUGCAUAUCUUUGUGCUAAAAAAUGCAUUUCUGUUAAAUAGUAAUUCCUAACUAAUUGUUUCUGAUAAACAACGAUGCCUUCCUUACACAGGUUGUUUGAUGUGUUUGUGCUCGUCGGCGGGACGGUGCAAGGCGCAACUCCGACGCGGUUCCUCGCCGGUUGGACGGCGUUCAGGCGCAACCCCGGCGCGCACUGAGUACUGCCUCGGCUACAGCCUCCCUCGGUGAGGUCCAUCUUCCUCCCGCUCCUCUGCUUCGGCUACUGUAUGGGACAUGGCCAUGGCUAUACUGAUGUGGUGCUUGUCUGGUUGAUGCUCUAUGCCCUACUCAUGCAUCGGUUCCUACUUGAGCUCUGUACUUGUGGAUCCAUGCCAUUUUAGGGUUUGCAGGCUGCUGUUCAUGUUUAGUUGCUAUCAUAGGAGCUAAUGUGAUGCUCUGGUUUACAUGUGGAUGCCCUGGUCCUAUAGCUAUGCUCCUGGAUUUGAUAGAUUGAUCAGUGGCGUUCGUGCUUGGGCGAUGAUGAUUAAUCGUGGCUGAAAUAAGUGUGCCUUUGAGCAAUCGUGGCACCUGUGCGUAUCAGGUUGGAUCCUCCCUCUUGUCUCUAGAAUCCUUUUUGAUCCUGUGAUACUUGUUGUUGUCCUUGGAUGGUCAUUCUUGUUGAGUGAUAACCAGGGCAACUCCACUGUAUGAACAGAUUGAUCUGGUGAUAAGAGAUGACGGGGGUAGGUUAUAUGAUCGAGGAAAGGUGAAUCUGAGCCCGAUAU